GGGCGUCAAAGCUUACCAAAGAAUAUCAAACUCCGAAUGCCAUGUAGAUGAUGAAUGGGAGUCAGACUGCACGAGAUAAGUUGGGUGGUCAAAAGGGAAAGAGCCCAGACCUACAGCUAAGGUCCCAAAGUGCGUGUUAAGUGGAAAAGGAUGUGGGAUUUCGAAGACAACUAGGAUGUUGGCUCAGAAGCAGCCAUACAUUCAAAGAGUGCGUAAUAGCUCACUAGUCGAGAGGUCCUGCGCCGAAAAUGUCCGGGGCUGAAACACGACACCGAAGCUUAGGACUCCUUUAAGGAGUGGUAGAGGAGCAUUGUUAGCGCAGCGAAGCUGUACCGAUAAGGAGCAGUGGAGUGCUAAGAAGAGAGAAUGCCGGAAUGAGUAGCGAGAGGAAGGUGAGAAUCCUUCCGGCCGAAUAUCCAAGGUUUCCAGAGUAAAGCUGAUCUGCUCUGGGUAAGUCGGGGCCUAAGGCGAGGUCGAAAGACGUAGUCGAUGGAUAACAGGUGGAGAUUCCUGUACUAUGUGUACCCAGAACUGUGGGGACGCAUGUGGAGAGCACGAGCCGGGAAAGAGAAAACCGGUACAAGCGGGGUAGGAGUAAGGACAGCAAAUCUUCCUUACAAUCCGAAGACGUAAUGUGGACCGAACCAAAGUAGGGAAGCGUGUGAGCCAUGUGCCAAGAAAAGCCGCUAUUGUGAUACACAUACCCGUACCGUAAACCGACACAGGUGGAUGAGGAGAGAAUCCUAAGGCCGACGGAAGAAGCAUUGUUAAGGAACUCGGCAAAAUGACCCCGUAACUUCGGGAGAAGGGGUGCCCACGGGAGUGGGCCGCAGAGAAUAGGCUCAAGCAACUGUUUAGCAAAAACACAGGUCUAUGCGAAACCGAAAGGUGAGGUAUAUGGGCUGACGCCUGCCCGGUGCUGGAAGGUUAAGAGGAGAGGUUAGCGCAAGCGAAGCUUUGAAUUUAAGCCCCAGUAAACGGCGGCCGUAACUAUAACGGUCCUAAGGUAGCGAAAUUCCUUGUCGGGUAAGUUCCGACCCGCACGAAAGGCGUAAUGAUUUGAGCACUGUCUCGACAAUGCAUCCGGUGAAAUUGAAGUACCAGUGAAGAUGCUGGUUACCUGCGCCAGGACGGAAAGACCCCAUGGAGCUUUACUCCAGCUUGAUACUGGGAUUCGAUACUGUAUGUACAGGAUAGGUGGGAGACGUUGAACAUAGAACGCCAGUUUUAUGUGAGUCGCUGUUGGGAUACCACCCUUGCAGUAUUGGAUUUCUAACCUGCACCCAUGACCUGGGUGGGGGACAAUGUCUGGCGGGGAGUUUGACUGGGGCGGUCGCCUCCGAAAGGGUAUCGGAGGCGCUCAAAGGUUCCCUCAGAAUGGUUGGAAACCAUUCGAAGAGUGCAAAGGCAGAAGGGAGCUUGACUGCGACACCGACGGGUGGAGCAGGUA
rnacentral:rRNA from 1 species